AUUACUUAACUAUUAUAAUAGAUUUAAGACGAGUGACAAUUUUAAUUAUGAAUUUAGAUUUAUAAGGCAAAUAAAAAUGAGAACGUGUGGUAUAACUGUAGGUUUUAAGCCGAGAAUGUUAUAUGUUAUUGAUCUACCAUGGUUCUGCUUCAAGUCAUUCUACAGCUGCGUCGAUGAAGAGAUAUUAACCGAACUUUGGACACGUGAAAAGAUCGUUAUGACCGUUUAUUCAUCGCAUAUCUAUAGAAAACCUCGGUUAAGACAAUUUUUAGAUUUUA